rnacentral:rRNA from 1 species
GAUGAACGCUGGCGGCGUGCCUAAUACAUGCAAGUCGAGCGAAUGGAUUAAGAGCUUGCUCUUAUGAAGUUAGCGGCGGACGGGUGAGUAACACGUGGGUAACCUGCCCAUAAGACUGGGAUAACUCCGGGAAACCGGGGCUAAUACCGGAUAACAUUUUGAACCGCAUGGUUCGAAAUUGAAAGGCGGCUUCGGCUGUCACUUAUGGAUGGACCCGCGUCGCAUUAGCUAGUUGGUGAGGUAACGGCGCACCAAGGCAACGAUGCGUAGCCGACAUGGGAGGGUGGUCGGCCACACUGGGACUGAGACACGGCCCAGACUCCUACGGGAGGCAGCAGUAGGGAAUCUUACGCAAUGGACGAAAGUCUGACGGAGCAACGCCGCGUGAGUGAUGAAGGCUUUCGGGUCGUAAAGCUCUGUUGUUAGGGAAGAACAAGUGCUAGUUGAAUAAGCUGGCACCUUGACGGUACCUAACCAGAAAGCCACGGCUAACUACGUGCCAGCCGCCGCGGUAA